UUAAGCCCGGGAGGACCGGUAGCUGAUCACCUCUUUGUUACGAAAAACAUUUUUCGCGUCCACCGAACCACUGCUAUAGUACACUUCUCUCUAUCUCUACUCUAUACAAUUCAAAUUCAGAGGCACAAAGCAGCCAGCAGGAAAGACAGAGACGCUGCUAUAGUGCAGUUUGUGUGGUAAUAUACUAUAUCAUUCUUCAGGCUGAAUGGGGAAAAUAGUAUGUACGGAGCUUAGUGGAGGAGGCGAUGGAGUUGAUCUGAUGGGCCUUCUCCUGGCGUUUGCAAUUGCUCUAGUGCUCAUGUUAAUAUGCGCCGCACAACCACCAGCUCGUCGGAGACUCGUGGCAGUCUAUCCAGCCUAUCAUUAAUGACCUGUUAAUAAAAAUGUGGGGUGGGUUCUGCCUCUGUUCAGUCAUUUUUCCCCGCCUUCUCCCUUGCGUCUUACAGGUGGUACUUUGGCAUAUCUUUUCCAGUGUUAUGAUUAAUGUAGUUGUCGUAUUGUAGGUGGCAAAGAUUGUUGUACGAUCAUAUGCAUCUGCAAAUCUACCCUUUAGCACCGUGUCGUCUAGUGGAGGUUCUGUUUUUCGUUUUUGGUUUUGGAUGAAAAUUUUGGCUGCAUGCUUAUCUAUCAAUCCGGCAUCUCAUCAGUUAACUAUUCUAUUGUCCUGUGGAUAAUAAGCUUUGCUCUGCGGGCAACAGGUUCAAUUUUCCCAACUGAUUCGUCCAUUUCAUGCAAAUCAAUUCUUUCUAGGGUCGUAUACGAACAUGGGCUCUCUCAUUUUGAUGCAAAAGUAGAACUAUUACUCGGUUCAUCACUUUAUUUGGAUUGGGGCAAUUGGACCUGUGCGGAGUAAGAAUCAACUUUUACCCUCAGAAAUUGGAUGAGGGGCAGCAACAAUACCGGGGAGAAUCAUAAGCAGAGAGAGAGAGAGAGAGAGAUCGCUAGAGGAUUAGAUUUACUGAGGAAAGGAAAGGUCAUAAAAAAAAAAAAGAGCAGGGUGGUUUUGCAGGAUUUGAUUCGACCACACAGAUGACUUUUCUUCUGUAAGGUUGUCUGUCAGGCAGAGCCAAUUUGAGUGGGAUGUAGCGUUAGACCAAUGCUUUCCUAGGAAAUUAAUGAAAAAUAAGGGGGGAAAAAAAACGAGCCAGGGUUUAGCCUCUGACAACAUAAGAUAAGUAAGUGCACACGUGCACCAUGCGUGCGGUAUUAGCAAUCACUUGAUAAACAGUAGUGUUGGACGAAUGACACCUAACUCUCAUUAAUUGGCGCUAAAUGAGCGGUGAUACUGAUAUGACAUAACCACUCAAUACUUUCUAGGGUAGAGAAGAAUUACUGUCCAAAUUGUUCAGGCUAAUAUCACAGGUUAAUCAACUUACAUUGUUGGAUGAUUUGUAAAAUUUGAACGGGAAUCUUGAUUUAUGAGUUUAGGUGAGAAACCCUUAAUCUCAAAUUCGCCAUUCCAAA